rnacentral:rRNA from 1 species
AACGGCCAUACCAUGCUAAAUAUGCCUGUUCUCGUUAGAUCACCGAGGUCGAGCAUCAUUGGGCGCGGUCAGUACUUGGGUGGGUGACCACCUGGGAACACCGCGUGCCGUU